CUCGCGCUGUUCCUCCGCUUCUUCUUAUCAAAUGUCCAACGUUUGCAUCUUUCUCUCGCCGAUUAUCCACGGCGGUUUUCUUCCCGGAAAACUGCUCCACUCUUGCGAAUUUCUUUCAUUGAAAACCCUAGAGCGGCUAGAAGUUUCUCAACUUUUCGUUUCGUUUCCAUCUCUCUGUCACAAAUCUCUGCUUCAAUCGGCUCACAAAUCUCUGCCGACGGCGGUUUUUCUAGCCAGAGAAACCCCUGAAGAACAGCUUUGAUCUUCCACAUGACUACUUUGCGCUGCUUCCGAAAUAUCUCCGUCUCGAUGUGAGUAGGUUUUUUUUCAAUCUGUGUGAAUUAUCCAGUCUUUUUUUUUGGGUCAAAAUCCAGUUGUUGAAUUUGAUAAAGAAUGGGACUUUGAAAUGACAGAGACAGAGAGAGAGGGAGAAGUAUGGUUGUCCAAAAAGGGGUAGGAUUGAGCGAUUGGAGACAGACAAAAAGUGAGGGAGGGAUGUAGGGCUGAUUUUCUGGUUCUACCCAAAAACCUACUAAAAAUCUUACUCCACACCAGCAGACGAUGAGAGUUCCAGAAACUCCAGCCCUUCGCCGCUGUCUCUCCCUUUGUUGUCGUCAGCUCAUUCGCAACCAUGGUAUUUUCUCGGACCAAUUUUCUCUUAUCCUCUGUUUGAUUCCUGUAAAUUGAGCUGGUGUCGACAAUUUCCAGGGCGAAGUUCUACUAGGAAAAUUUCGUUGAUUACUAUUUACUUUUAUCUUUCCAAUAUAUUUGGAUGCUAUAUACUAACAUUUACAACUCAACUGAAUCUAUGAACUACCAUUUUAUGUUAUUUUUCUUAAUAUUUCUCUAAUGGAUCCUGCAAUUUUGAUGAAGCUGAAGUAUAAGUUUUUGUUUAUAAACAAAAAAAAAUUUAUUUCUUAGCAUAUUUUUUCUCGAAAUGUAAGCUACAUUCAUGAUAGACUAGGCAUUGGGCAUAUAUAAUAAGUAAUAACCAUAAUAAAUGAUUUACUUAGGUGAAUAUUUGUUGAUAAUCCCUCUAUGCGGAUUGAAAAAUAUGAGUAUCUUCGUUCUAAUUAUGCAUCUUUUGAGGUAGGCAAUAGCAAGAAAAAAAGUUAACGACUCUGAUAACAUAUUGCUGGUAAAUGAGAAGUUUAGUAAGCAAAUUACAGAGAUACCUCCAGAAGAGUACAAAAUGCCACAGGUAUGGAUUGACUUGGAAAUGACUGGUGAGGGUAAUAUUGCUUAGUAUAUAUGAAAGUGUAUGACUAAAUAACAUUAAUAAUUUCUUCGCUACUCUUGGGAACUAAUUGUAUGUGGAAUUUUGUUGUAUGGACUAUGGAAUAAAUAUAUGUUGCAUGACGUGACUUAUUCGAGUUUAUUAGAGGGUUGUGGGGAUGCCUAUGGAAAGACAAGCUCAGGUCCUUUCCAUGUUCUUUUGUAAUCUUCCUUUCACAGUUGGAAAGGGGGAAGUUUUGUUUCUGGGAAGAUAUUUGGGUCGGGAUUCCUAUUUCAGUGUCAUUUUCUCCCAUCUCUAUAGGAUCUCUUUGCCAAUCUUCACAAAAUUACACAGGUUGUUCACUGUUCGGCUUCCCUUUUCGAUGUUUCCUCUCACUUCUUUCUUGCAACAAUUUGUUUUCUGUCUUAAUAUCAAUUGAGAGUGUUGAAGGGAUGUGCAAAUAGAUGGGAAGAAGUAGAAUUCAUUUUGAGUAAAGAAAGUGAGAAUUAACCUUGUUGUUUUAUACUUCUUGGUUGUUUUGAUGAAGUUGGGAAUAAGUUAAAUAGAUUGACUGUAACUACCAGUAUAUGGAGGAAGGAGGAGAGAGGGCAUAAUAAUUCAAUUUAGUUUCCAUCUGUACCUUCUGCAUUUCCAAUGGCAAUUUCGAACCUUUUCUUUUCUGCUUCUAAAUUUUUAUGCUUUCUGGGUUUUUUUAUGGCAGUUUUAGGGAAAAGCAUAACAAAGAAGAGUACUACUACAAUGAUGUGAGUGCCCUCUAUCCUUAUUAUGGUUAAAUGGGGGUGCAAAUUUCAUAUUUUUCUUAAUAUGGUCAAAUGGUAUGCAAAUGAGAUUGGGUUAAGCUUUUGGGUUUAACUCUCUCACUCUCUUUGCGUUUGGGUUCCAUUUAUGGUUUUCUUUCUUCGUUUCUCUAUUUCGGUUCUCCUUUGGUUUUAACCCCUUUUUUUUUUUUUUUUUUUUAAUUUUGUUCAUUCAUCUUUAACUAUUAUCGGCAUAUCAUGAGGUUUAGAGAAAACUGAGAAAUUGAAAAUUUUGAAUACUCAAAGCAUGCCCUUCUAUCUAAUGCUCUCAAAAAAAAGUCCCAUGGCCACGAGGGGAGUAUAUAAGACUGAUGAGGGUCAAGUGUCCAUAUCAACUAUAAAAGGAUUGUGUAUCCAAGUAUUUGGAAUCUUAAGAAAGAACAAUAAUUUACUAUUAUGAAAGGUUUUGACUGUUAGUUUUGAUCCAUGGUCCUGAUUGGUAGUUUUGGACAAGUAACGUAUUCUCUUUAUCAGAACGAUGAUUGAGAUAAUAUUGUUUAAAUCAUUAUCUCCUUAUCUCUAAAUCUUUUAGUGCAGUACAAAUAAUUUCACUGCUAAUGAGAACUUUACUUGGGAUUUUCUUUUGUGUUGUCACUUCUGAUUUUACUGAUUAAUGUAUUUCUUGAAGGUAGUGACGUAAUCAUAAGAAAAAGUUGAGUUCUUAGUUCAUCGCAAGACGACCCAUUGCCAUUCAUUGCAAGUCAACCCAUUGCCAGGUAUCUCUCUCUCAAGAUAUUACCAAUUAGGUGUAUUUAUACUCUUAUUGGAUGUGAAUUUUUAAAAUAAUGAUGUAACUGCUUGAUAACCUGUGCAUCAUUUGGAGUUUAAAUAUACCACUUAAAUUGUGGGUAAAUGUAACUGUGAAACUUAUAAACUAUAACCUCAUCCAUCAUUUAUUUUAGACAUCACUCAAGUUGUAAGGAAAUGUAACUAGCCAAUUUAUGAAAAUUAUUAGCACUUAAUGUA